GAUGAACGCUGGCGGCGUGCCUAAUACAUGCAAGUCGAGCGAACAGACGAGGAGCUUGCUCCUCUGACGUUAGCGGCGGACGGGUGAGUAACACGUGGAUAACCUACCUAUAAGACUGGGAUAACUUCGGGAAACCGGAGCUAAUACCGGAUAAUAUAUUGAACCGCAUGGUUCAAUAGUGAAAGACGGUUUUGCUGUCACUUAUAGAUGGAUCCGCGCCGCAUUAGCUAGUUGGUAAGGUAACGGCUUACCAAGGCAACGAUGCGUAGCCGACCUGAGAGGGUGAUCGGCCACACGGGAACUGAGACACGGUCCAGACUCCUACGGGAGGCAGCAGUAGGGAAUCUUCCGCAAUGGGCGAAAGCCUGACGGAGCAACGCCGCGUGAGUGAUGAAGGUCUUCGGAUCGUAAAACUCUGUUAUUAGGGAAGAACAAAUGUGUAAGUAACUAUGUACGUCUUGACGGUACCUAAUCAGAAAGCCACGGCUAACUACGUG
rnacentral:rRNA from 1 species